rnacentral:rRNA from 1 species
CGUGUAGGCGGUUUGUUAAGUCUGAUGUGAAAGCCCCGGGCUCAACCUGGGAAGUGCAUUGGAUACUGGCGGACUUGAAUACGGGAGAGGGCAGUGGAAUUCCUGGUGUAGGAGUGAAAUCCGUAGAUAUCAGGAGGAACACCGGUGGCGAAGGCGGCUGCCUGGACCGAUAUUGACGCUGAGACGCGAAAGCGUGGGUAGCAAACA